AAAAAAAGAAGAAAAAAAAACAGCUACUCCAACCUGCGCAACUAUGCCUACUGACUGUAAGUAUUCAUAUGAGUGUAAUAUAUUAUUAUUAUUAUUAUUAUAUCAUGACUAUUACCAUGUGUAUACGCGGCCCAUAUCUGAUUGAUACAUAGUUUUUCCGCAGUGAUUUCUGACGUCGGCUAUGAGAGCGUGAAAAGGCAUCAGGGUCCACGCGCACCAGGUGCAUAUGAUAUUCGGUUGAAUAAUCAAAGAACAAUACUCGGAGAUCGGACCAAUGUGGAGGCCUGUGGUAGUUAUGUGCCUAUCGUGAAUAGUGUGAAACAGUGGACCCCUGGAUCAAACCGUCUAACCAAGAAAAAUCUUAAAAGACCGAACCGUGCUCUGCCUCUACCCUGCUCGCCGCUAACAGUGGUGCAACAGCAGAUCCCGUAUAAAAAGGGACGCAAGGACACCGCUGAUAGUGUUUUAACUCCAGAGAAUUUUAACUUGGUUCUCCAGGCAGUCAUAAACCCUCAAAUCGCGCAGCCAGGGACCGUAUGGUCUGAGUCCAAACAACAAGUGGUCGGGGCGGUGGAUGUGCAUGUGUCUGCGCCGCCUGCAGAGACCAUUACUGUACAGCCGGAUGGAUGCAUUCAGCAUGUCCUUGGUGACCCUCAGUAUGCACCACUACCAGAACUGACCGAUGAGGAUAUCGAGGCUCUCGCCGACAUUCCGUUGUGGCCCUCAGCGCUGUUGGAACAGCUCGACUUCACUCCAGCUCAGUGGAUAGACCCUCCAGCUACUUCCGUAGGGGGUACCGCCAGGGCAGAACCAGUAAACCAUCAGCCUGCAGCCCCCGCCUCUGGAUCACUACCCAUCAUCCAGGCCUCUAUCCACGAUCCGCCAGGCACUUUCAAACUCCACCAAUAGUAGAGGGAGGAGGAACCAUAGAAGAGGAACACACAGGAGGGCUCUCUCCUCCCAGAGCUGCUAGGAGGCCAGGACUUGCAGGGGGAGCACACAUGAAUAAUAAUUUACAUGACAAGGAGGUCAAAACAGUC
ensembl:lncRNA